rnacentral:rRNA from 1 species
CAGCAGCCGCGGGAAUACGAAGGGGGCUAGCGUUGCUCGGAAUGACUGGGCGUAAAGGGCGCGUAGGCGGAUGGUACAGUCAGAUGUGAAAUUCCUGGGCUUAACCUGGGGGCUGCAUUUGAUACGUAUUGUCUAGAGUGAGGAAGAGGGUCGUGGAAUUCCCAGUGUAGAGGUGAAAUUCGUAGAUAUUGGGAAGAACACCGGUGGCGAAGGCGGCGACCUGGUCCUUGACUGACGCUGAGGCGCGAAAGCGUGGGGAGCAAACAGGAUUAGAUACCCCAGUAGUCCCUGUCUCUUAUAC